AAGAAAGUUAGCAAAAAUCUGGGUAGUUUAUUAUCUUUGAACAAGACGUCGAUUCAGAUCUAAUUUGUUUGAAAAUUCGGGCGAUGCGUUCAAACUGAUGUCAUAGAGAGACAGAGGGGAAAAAAUAGGUAUAAAAAUAAAUAGUUUUUAUAAUUUUUAUGGGUAGAGUCCAUGAUUACAUGACAUAAAAAUAAUUUAAUUUGUCAUUUAAAAUUUAUUUUAUUGAUAAAUGUAAUUGAGUGAUUUUUUAAGAUAAAAGUCUUAAGUUGAGUGAUUUUAUUGAUACAAAACAAAGUUCAAUGACUUUACUAGAUAAUUUCUCAUAGUUCAAUAACCUUUUAAGAUAUUAACUC
rnacentral:lncRNA from 1 species